GGCUCGAUGGCGGAUGGUCCGCACCUGCUUUUAUUGCAGAACUGGCACGCAGUCCCACGCAGAAAGCCCCCGUUCGACUCGGGGUCGAGCCA